rnacentral:rRNA from 1 species
UCAUUCGAGUGGCGGACGGGUGAGUAACGCGUGGGUAACCUGCCUUACACAGGGGGAGUAACACCUGGAAACAGGUGCUAAUACCGCAUAAGCGCACAGGGCCGCAUGGCCCGGUGUGAAAAACUCCGGUGGUGUAAGAUGGACCCGCGUCUGAUUAGCUUGUUGGCGGGGUAGGGGCCCACCAAGGCGACGAUCAGUAGCCGGCCUGAGAGGGUGGACGGCCACAUUGGGACUGAGACACGGCCCAAACUCCUACGGAAGGCAGCAG